rnacentral:lncRNA from 1 species
GCUGUCCAUCAGAAGAUCCCACCCCCUUCUGCUCUCCCCUCCAGGGUGGAGCCACAGGCUGCCAAUAGAGAAGCUGGGGUGGCAAUCACUCCCCUCUCCCAGACCUUGGUUUCUCCAUCUAAGUCCCCCCAGGUCAUGUGGAUGAUCCUCUGGCGUCCUAGGGUCCUGUACCUGGCACCUAGCAGGCACUCAGAGGUGCUUGUGGUCACUCAUUCCUCCAACAGCAGGCUCAGAGCUGGUUUCUGCAUGUACCGGGACACCAGGCCUGGCCAUGGUGGCUCAGGGUGGGUGGGAGUCCAGCAGCCCCAGAGCCCAGAGUGCGGCCAUCGUGAGGAUUCUG